rnacentral:rRNA from 1 species
AGGGGCAGGGAGUUUAUGAGCAUGGCAAGGCUAACGAAAGGAAGCCGGAGCGAAAGCGAGUGCCGCGAGGCACUGGUAGGAAACUGCCAUAAGUCAUGUUUGUAAGACCCGAAGCCGCGCGAUCUAUACCUGGGCAGGCCGAAGUAGGGAUUACUCUCUAUGGAGGGCCGACCUGGUCGGUAACUACAUCGUCAGUUGACCUGGGUAUAGGGGCGAAAAACCAAUCGUGCGCGGCGAUAGCUGGUUCCCAUCGAAAUAUCCCAUAGGAUAGCUUAUACCCGAAUUUUAAAAGAGGUAAAGACACUGAUUGUGUUGGUAGGAGCCGAAAGGCUCCACAACAUUGUCAAACUCAGAAUUCCUUUAAAAAUAGGUAUAAGUUGGGUGUAUGGCGUAAAGUUUUACACCGAGAAGGAAACAACCUAGCCAUGAGUUAAGGCCCUUAAAUGUUUACUAAGUGCAAAAAAGAGGAAUCAUUUCUAAAACAGUUGGGAGGUGGGCUCAGAAGCGGCCAUCCUUCAAAAAGUGUGUUACAACUUACCAACCUAGAUAUGGUAACUCGAAAAUGGACGGGGCUAAGUAAGCUGCCGAAACUCAUGAUUUUGAUAAAAGUUUAUCAAAAAUGGUAGAUGGGCGUACCUGCAGACUAGAAGUCUUUUCGUGAGGGAAGAUGGAUCUGUAAGGUAUUGAGAAUCCUGCCAGGAGUAGCAAAUAAAUGGGUGAGAAUCCCAUCCGCCGCAUGUGCAAGGGUUCCUUGUUUUAAGAUUAUCUAACAAGGGUUAGUCGGUCCUAAGUUUUGCGUCGAAAGGUGCAAGGCAAAUGGGAAUGCGUUUAAUAUUACGCAACCACGGCGGUUUUACCGUUUAUUACGCGUUGAGAUAAGUGGAGUGGUCCAGUCAGAUUAUAUAUAGAUGCGAUGCAUUCGAGAGACGUAAUGUCGAGAAGAUGCAGAAGCGUUUAUAAUGUAGCAAUACAUCCAUUGAUUCCCGGCGCCCAUGAAAAUGUAAACGUUAUGAACCGAAGUGACCGUACCGAAAACUGACACAGGUGCACUGGCUGAGAAGGCUAAGGCGAGGGAUUUAAACAGGGUAAGGGAAAUCGGCAAGUUAGUCCCGUAAGUUCGCAAUAAGGGAUCCCUGAUUUGGUCUUAAAAGCUAAAUCAGGGCGCAGUGACGAAGGGAGUCUAACUGUUUACUAAAAGCAUAGCUGGCUGCUAGAGAGCAAUCUUUUGUACAGCCGGCGACAUCUGCCCAGCAUAGGUAUCCGAAAAUCUGUUUCAACGGGUAUAAGGACCUAUUAGCGGCGGAGGUAACUGUGACCUUCUUAAGCAAGCAUAAUCCAUUGCCAAUUGAUUGUUGGCUUGUGAACGAUGUAAUGAGAUUCCCGCUGUCCCUACCUUGAAACCCGCGAAACCACCGUCCUGGUGCAAAGGCCAGGGACCUCCACUGGGUCAAAAAGACCCCAGGAACUUUACUGCAGUCUCUUGUUGUGGUACUAAGUUGAUAGGCAUAGAGUAGGUAGCAGGCGUUAUGCUCAUUGUUCCGGCAAUGAGAUAGCCGAAAGUGUAACACUACCCUUAUUGACUUAUACCACUUACCUUCGGGAACAGCAGGAGAUGGGCAGUUUUGCUGGGGUGGCAAUCCCACGAAAAGAUAACAUGGGAGCCCAAAGGUCAUCUUAAGUGGCAUAGAAAUCCACUGUUAAGUGCAAUGGCAAAAGAUGGCUUGACUGCGCACUACAAAGCAAAGUGCACAGAGGCGAAAGCCGGGCAUAGCGAACACGAAUGCGUGUUUUUUUGACUCCUUCGUAUGACAGAAAAGCUACCCUGGGCGUAAGAGAGUUGUUGCGGAUGAUAGUUCAUAUUGACUUCGCAGCUUGCUCCACAGUCUUUGGCUCUCCCCAUCCUGGUUGUGCACAAGCAGCCAAGGGUACAGGUGUUCACUGGUUAAAGGGGACCGUGAGCUGAGUUUAGGCCGCCGCGAGGCAGGCCGGUAGUUAACUAGUGGAGGUGGUCGAUGCCUGAAUGGAAGAUUCGACUAGUACGAAAGGAACAGCGAUUCGGCGUCACUAGUUAGCGGUUAUCCGACAGGGUACGCCGCGUAGCCACACGCUAUGGGAUAAGAGCUGAAGGCAUCUAAGCUCGAAACCCUCCGUAAAAAUAGGCAUCGUUGAGGCUGGGGAAGAAGACCCCGUUGAUAGAAUCGGCGUGUAAGGACCAAGGCGAAAGCCGAGAUCUUCAGCGCACGAUUACUAAUCAGCCAA